rnacentral:rRNA from 1 species
UACGAAGGGGGCUAGCGUUGUUCGGAAUCACUGGGCGUAAAGGGCGCGUAGGUGGCCUUCUAAGUUGAACGUGAAAUCCCUGGGCUCAACCCAGGAACUGCGUCCAAGACUGGGAGGCUUGAAUCCGGGAGAGGGAUGCGGAAUUCCAGGUGUAGCGGUGAAAUGCGUAGAUAUCUGGAGGAACACCGGUGGCGAAGGCGGCAUCCUGGACCGGUACUGACGCUGAGGCGCGAAAGCGUGGGGAGCAAACAGG